rnacentral:lncRNA from 1 species
GCCUUUAAGGGUUGCCUAUAGAUCUGGAAAGAAGAUGCGUUGUACCUGUAUGUGCCUGCUUCAUGUAUUCCCUGCAUUGCCUGUACCUAUCUGUUCCGCCGAAUGCAAAUGGCGGUUUGUAUGGGGAUUCUCGUUCGUUUCACGAACGGCACUUUGGAGGGCCGUUCGUGAACCGAAUGCGAUACCCCCUAAUAGCCCACACACUUAGAGGCGUGUGGCGCUAGUUAACCGAUUGCAACAUUGUUGCAAUCGGUUAUUAGAGGCUCUCCUGG